rnacentral:pre_miRNA from 1 species
UUAUUCAGUUCUUUCACAUGAUUUUCAACACAUCACAAGCUGACUUGAUUUAUUUGUGAUGUGUUGAAAAUCAUGUGCAAGAAUUGAAA